AGAGUCUUCUCAAGGUA
rnacentral:tRNA from 1 species